rnacentral:rRNA from 1 species
GCCAGCAGCCGCGGUAAUACGUAGGGUGCGAGCGUUGUCCGGAAUUACUGGGCGUAAAGAGCUCGUAGGUGGUUUGUUGCGUCGUCUGUGAAAUUCCGGGGCUUAACUUCGGGGUGGCAGGCGAUACGGGCAUAACUAGAGUGCUGUAGGGGAGACUGGAAUUCCUGGUGUAGCGGUGGAAUGCGCAGAUAUCAGGAGGAACACCGAUGGCGAAGGCAGGUCUCUGGGCAGUAACUGACGCUGAGGAGCGAAAGCAUGGGGAGCGAACAGGAUUAGAUACCCUGGUAGUCCAUGCUGUAAACGGUGGGCGUUAGGUGUGGGGACCGGUUUGGUUUCUGUGCCGUAGCUAACGCAUUAAGCGCC